rnacentral:tRNA from 1 species
UGUGACAGAAUAGUGUGAUAAACUUAAGAUUUAUUCAUAAAGUCAGACUUUCUUUAGAA